GGGCCGGUAGCUCAAUUGGCAGAGCGCUACUAUGGCAUAGUAGAGGUAGUGGGUUCGAAACCCAUCCGGUCCA
rnacentral:tRNA from 1 species